GAUGAACGCUGGCGGCGUGCCUAAUACAUGCAAGUCGAGCGAAUGGAUUAAGAGCUUGCUCUUAUGAAGUUAGCGGCGGACGGGUGAGUAACACGUGGGUAACCUGCCCAUAAGACUGGGAUAACUCCGGGAAACCGGGACUAAUACCGGAUAACAUUUUGAGCCGCAUGGUUCGAAAUUGAAAGGCGGCUUCGGCUGUCACUUAUGGAUGGACCCGCGUCGCAUUAGCUAGUUGGUGAGGUAACGGCUCACCAAGGCAACGAUGCGUAGCCGAACUGAGAGGGUGGUCGGCCACACUGGGACUGAGACACGGCCCAGACUCCUACGGGAGGCAGCAGUAGGGAAUCUUCCGCAAUGGACGAAAGUCUGACGGAGCAACGCCGCGUGAGUGAUGAAGGCUUUCGGGUCGUAAAACUCUGUUGUUAGGGAAGAACAAGUGCUAGUUGAAUAAGCUGGCACCUUGACGGUACCUAACCAGAAAGCCACGGCUAACUACGUGCCAGCCGCCGCCGUAA
rnacentral:rRNA from 1 species